AAAUCUGGCGUAUUCUGCGUCCGAGUUGUAAUUUGAAGAAGGAUACUUUGGGGUUGGCUCUUGUCUAUGUUUCUUGGAACAGAACGUCACAGAGGGUGAGAAUCCCGUGCGAUGAGAAGCCCAAUUCCGUGUAAAGUGCCUUCGAAGAGUCGAGUUGUUUGGGAAUGCAGCUCUAAGUGGGUGGUAAAUUCCAUCUAAAGCUAAAUAUUGGCGAGAGACCGAUAGCGAACAAGUACAGUGAUGGAAAGAUGAAAAGAACUUUGAAAAGAGAGUGAAAAAGUACGUGAAAUUGUUGAAAGGGAAGGGCUUGAGAUCAGACUUGGUAUUUUGUAUGUCUUGCUUUCGGGUGGGGCCUCUGCAGUUUACUGGGCCAGCAUCGGUUCGGGUGGUAGGACAAUUGCGAAGGAACGUGGCACUGCUUCGGUGGUGUGUUAUAGCCUUUGUGGAUACUGCCUG
rnacentral:rRNA from 1 species